rnacentral:rRNA from 1 species
UACGAGGGGGGCGAGCGUUGUUCGGAAUUAUUGGGCGUAAAGGGUGCGUAGGCGGUUUGGUAAGUCUGAUGUGAAAUCUAUGGGCUCAACUCAUAGUCUGCAUCGGAAACUGCCGGGCUUGAGUGUGGGAGAGGUGAGUGGAAUUCCUGGUGUAGCGGUGAAAUGCGUAGAUAUCAGGAGGAACACCUGUGGCGAAAGCGGCUCACUGGACCAUAACUGACGCUCAUGCACGACAGCGUGGGGAUCAAACAGG